GAUCACUUGGGCAGCACAGACGCUGAAACUGGAACGGUACAGAGAAGGUUAGCAUGGCCCCUGCGCACGUAUGACACGCAGAUUCACAAAGCGUUCCCUUUUUUU